rnacentral:rRNA from 1 species
ACGCUGGCGGCGUGCCUAAUACAUGCAAGUCGAGCGAACGGACGAGAAGCUUGCUUCUCUGAUGUUAGCGGCGGACGGGUGAGUAACACGUGGAUAACCUACCUAUAAGACUGGGAUAACUUCGGGAAACCGGAGCUAAUACCGGAUAAUAUUUUGAACCGCAUGGUUCAAAAGUGAAAGACGGUCUUGCUGUCACUUAUAGAUGGAUCCGCGCUGCAUUAGCUAGUUGGUAAGGUAACGGCUUACCAAGGCAACGAUGCAUAGCCGACCUGAGAGGGUGAUCGGCCACACUGGAACUGAGACACGGUCCAGACUCCUACGGGAGGCAGCAGUAGGGAAUCUUCCGCAAUGGGCGAAAGCCUGACGGAGCAACGCCGCGUGAGUGAUGAAGGUCUUCGGAUCGUAAAACUCUGUUAUUAGGGAAGAACAUAUGUGUAAGUAACUGUGCACAUCUUGACGGUACCUAAUCAGAAAGCCACGGCUAACUACGUGCCAGCAGCCGCGGUAAUACGUAGGUGGCAAGCGUUAUCCGGAAUUAUUGGGCGUAAAGCGCGCGUAGGCGGUUUUUUAAGUCUGAUGUGAAAGCCCACGGCUCACCCGUGGAGGGUCAUUGGAAACUGGAAAACUUGAGUGCAGAAGAGGAAAGUGGAAUUCCAUGUGUAGCGGUGAAAUGCGCAGAGAUAUGGAGGAACACCAGUGGCGAAGGCGACUUUCUGGUCUGUAACUGACGCUGAUGUGCGAAAGCGUGGGGAUCAAACAGGAUUAGAUACCCUGGUAGUCCACGCCGUAAACGAUGAGUGCUAAGUGUUAGGGGGUUUCCGCCCCUUAGUGCUGCAGCUAACGCAUUAAGCACUCCGCCUGGGGAGUACGACCGCAAGGUUGAAACUCAAAGGAAUUGACGGGGACCCGCACAAGCGGUGGAGCAUGUGGUUUAAUUCGAAGCAACGCGAAGAACCUUACCAAAUCUUGACAUCCUUUGACAACUCUAGAGAUAGAGCCUUCCCCUUCGGGGGACAAAGUGACAGGUGGUGCAUGGUUGUCGUCAGCUCGUGUCGUGAGAUGUUGGGUUAAGUCCCGCAACGAGCGCAACCCUUAAGCUUAGUUGCCAUCAUUAAGUUGGGCACUCUAAGUUGACUGCCGGUGACAAACCGGAGGAAGGUGGGGAUGACGUCAAAUCAUCAUGCCCCUUAUGAUUUGGGCUACACACGUGCUACAAUGGACAAUACAAAGGGCAGCGAAACCGCGAGGUCAAGCAAAUCCCAUAAAGUUGUUCUCAGUUCGGAUUGUAGUCUGCAACUCGACUACAUGAAGCUGGAAUCGCUAGUAAUCGUAGAUCAGCAUGCUACGGUGAAUACGUUCCCGGGUCU